UUGACCUCAAAUCAGGUAGGACUUCUCGCUGCACCCUGGUAGUCAGUUUAGUCGGAUCACAGUAUCGUAGUAUCCGUAUGGUACGUAGAUUCAUGGCUGA
rnacentral:rRNA from 1 species